CCUACGGGUGGCAGCAGUGAGGAAUAUUGGUCAAUGGGCGGAAGCCUGAACCAGCCAAGUCGCGUGAGGGAUUAAGGCCCUAUGGGUCGUAAACCUCUUUUGUCAGGGAGCAAUGGCGUCCACGUGUGGGCGUAUGUAGAUUACCUGAAGAAAAGGCAUCGGCUAACUCGGUGCCAGCAGCCGCGGUAAUACGGGGGAUGGGAGCGUUAUCCGGAUUGAUGGGGUUAAAGGGGUGCGUAAGCGGGACCUUAGGUCAGCGGUAAAAUUGCGGUUCUCAACGCCGUAGAGCCGUUGAAACUGGGGGUCUUGAGUGAGCGAGAAGUAUGCGGAAUGCGUGGUGUAGCGGUGAAAUGUAUAGAUAUCACGCAGAACCCCGAUUGCGAAGGCAGCAUACCGGCGCUCAACUGACGCUGAGGCACGAAAGUGCGGGUAUCGAACAGGAUUAGAUACCCCUGUAGUC
rnacentral:rRNA from 1 species